GCUAAGGUCCUCUGAGUGUUUUUUAGCACAUUGCUAUGCAGUUGCUGAGGUGUUCCAAUUGUGUCUUAGCAUGUUGCUAUGCGGUUGCUGAGGUCUUCUGAGUGGGUUUUUAGCACACUGCUAUGCGGUUGCUGAGGUGUUCUAAUUGUGUCUUAGCAUGUUGCUAAGCAGUUGCUGAGGUGUUCUGAUUGGUUCUUAGCACACUGCUAUGAAGUUGCUGAUGUGUUCUGAUUGGUUCUUAGCACACUGCUAUGCCAUUGCUGAGGUGUUCUGAUUGGUUCUUAGCACGUUGCUAUGCGGUUGCUAAGGUCUUCUGAGUGUUUUUUAGCACAUUGCUAUGCGGUUGCUGAGGUGUUCCAAUUGUGUCUUAGCAUGUUGCUAUGCGGUUGCUGAGGUCUUCUGAGUGGGUUUUUAGCACACUGCUAUGCGGUUGCUGAGGUGUUCUAAUUGUGUCUUAGCAUGUUGCUAAGCAGUUGCUGAGGUGUUCUGAUUGGUUCUUAGCACACUGCUAUGAAGUUGCUGAGGUGUUCUGAUUGGUUCUUAACACGUUGCUAUGCGGUUGCUAAGGUCCUCUGAGUGUUUUUUAGCACAUUGCUAUGCAGUUGCUGAGGUGUUCCAAUUGUGUCUUAGCAUGUUGCUAUGCGGUUGCUGAGGUCUUCUGAGUGGGUUUUUAGCACACUGCUAUGCGGUUGCUGAGGUGUUCUAAUUGUGUCUUAGCAUGUUGCUAAGCAGUUGCUGAGGUGUUCUGAUUGGUUCUUAGCACACUGCUAUGAAGUUGCUGAUGUGUUCUGAUUGGUUCUUAGCACACUGCUAUGCCAUUGCUGAGGUGUUCUGAUUGAUUCUUAGCAUGUUGCUAUGCGGUUGCUAAGGUCUCCUGAGUGUUUUUUUAGCACAUUGCUAUGCAGUUGCUGAGGUGUUCUGAUUGGUUCUUAGCACACUGCUAUGGAGUUGCUGAUGUGUUCUGAUUGGUUCUUAGCACACUGCUAUGCCAUUGCUGAGGUGUUCUGAUUGGUUCUUAGCACGUUGCUAUGCGGUUGCUAAGGUCUUCUGAGUGUUUUUUAGCACAUUGCUAUGCGGUUGCUGAGGUGUUCCAAUUGUGUCUUAGCAUGUUGCUAUGCGGUUGCUGAGGUCUUCUGAGUGGGUUUUUAGCACACUGCUAUGCGGUUGCUGAGGUGUUCUAAUUGUGUCUUAGCAUGUUGCUAAGCAGUUGCUGAGGUGUUCUGAUUGGUUCUUAGCACACUGCUAUGAAGUUGCUGAUGUGUUCUGAUUGGUUCUUAGCACACUGCUAUGCCAUUGCUGAGG